GACGAACGCUGGCGGCGUGCUUAACACAUGCAAGUCGAACGGAAAGGCCCUGCUUUUGUGGGGUGCUCGAGUGGCGAACGGGUGAGUAACACGUGAGUAACCUGCCCUUGACUUUGGGAUAACUUCAGGAAACUGGGGCUAAUACCGGAUAGGAGCUCCUGCUGCAUGGUGGGGGUUGGAAAGUUUCGGCGGUUGGGGAUGGACUCGCGGCUUAUCAGCUUGUUGGUGGGGUAGUGGCUUACCAAGGCUUUGACGGGUAGCCGGCCUGAGAGGGUGACCGGCCACAAUGGGACUGAGAGACGGACCAGACGCCUACGUGAGGCAGCAGGGGGAAAUAUGGCACAACGGGCGGAAGCCAGAUGCAGCAACGCCGCGUGCGUGAUGACGGCCUUCGGGGUGUAAACCGCUGUCGCCUGUGACGAAGCGUGAGUGACGGUAAUGGGUAAAGAAGCACCGGCUAACUACGUG
rnacentral:rRNA from 1 species